AUGGGAACUCCGCGGGCACUCGGCGGGCGCUCAGGUGGGCACUUGGCGGGUGCUCAGGUGGGCACUUGGCGGGCGCUCAGGUGGGCACUCGGCGGGCACUGGGCAGGUGCUCAGGCGGGCGCUUGGUGGGCACUGGGCAGGCGCUCAAGCGGGCACUCGGUGGGGGCUCAGGUGGGCGUUCAGGCGGGCACUCGGUGGGGGCUCAGGUGGGCACUCGGCGGGCACUGGGCGGGCGCUCAGGUGGGCACUCCGCAGGCACUCAGGUGGGCACUCCAUGGGCACUCGGCGGGCGCUCCACGGGCACUCAGGUGGGCACUGGGCAGGUGCUCUGUGGGUACUCGGCAGGCGCUCAGGCAGGCACUUGGCGGGCGCUCAGGCAGGCACUCCGGUGGGCACUCCAUGGGCACUUAAAAGGGCGCUCCGCAGACACUCAGGUGGGCGCUCCGCGGGCACUCAGGCGGGCACUUGGCGGGCACUCAGGCGGGCACUCGGCUGGCGCUCAGGUGGGUACUCAGGCGGGCACUGGGUAGGUACUCAGGUGGGCACUCAGUGGGCGCUCAGGUGGGUACUCGGUGGCGCUCAGGUGGGU
rnacentral:lncRNA from 1 species